rnacentral:misc_RNA from 1 species
AUAUUUUACUCACAAACUUGACAGCAAUCACUGUGGCGGCUGGGCGAAGGAGUAAGGCUGUCCCGGCUCACCUAUGUAUAUUCCAACUCCGGGGACGCGCUCAAGACGUCUGACAACGGUGGGGUAGCCAAAAUCUCGACCCAAUUCUGAGACUUUUUCGAUAGCCUGUCUGUCUGGCUGGAAAUUCACAGACCCAGGCAACCGUCAAAUUUUCGCAAAUUGAAGGUACCUUUCUUAAUUGCACUGUCAUCCAUAGCCUUAUAUUCCAUAUUCUUCAAUGCAAGUUCAACGCCAUAACCACCCAAAUUUAAGGAGUCUUUGGCACCAACAGUACCACAAUUGCCAACUUUUUCUUCACAGCCAGAGGGUAAAACCGGUCUAACUACAUAUUUUAUCCUCCCCUGUCUGGCAGCUUCAACCAGUGUGACAUGAAAUUGCCUAAAACAAUCAGUUCCAAGAGCUCCAUAGAGAAUAGCAACUGGGCUUAUAGUAUGAGAGUCAAAAUGGAUGUGAUCAAAAUCAAAUAGUUCAGGCUGCUGAAAUGAGUCUUCUGCAAGUUUAGCAGGGUUAUGAAGCCAUAACAGCAACUCUGCAACAUCAAAGAACAAUGCUCCACCAGUAUCCACCCAGCAACAUUUUCCACCAGGGCUCUUAGGAUUUACACCAACAAGCAAAGGAUCUGACCUUUUACUUUCAUUUUCCUCACUUGUUUCUGCAAUUACUCCACUAUCAUUGUUUGAAAUACUAUCAUCAGAAAGAGGGAAAGAAGAAAGAGAAUCCUCUGCUAAUUGUCGGUAAAGCACCAAUCUUGGGGCUGCUGAUCUCAAAAUAAGAGAGAACUCAAAUAGUGAGGCCAGUGGAUCACUUAAAAGUGACCGUCCAUGUUUUAUAAUUCUUUUGAGGCAAUCUCUUGCUGUAUGAGAGUCAGAUUCAUCCUCCUCUGCUCGAAGCCAGACCUCAAUGAACUCCCAAUAAAGGUCUUUCCACUCCUUCGAUAGUAAUUCACUAUACCAAGAAAUAAAAUAAUAUAAAAUAACAUUGGUGCAUAGGAAGACACUCUACAAACUUAAGAAAAUGGAUUAAGGAGAUUAACUCACUAAUCACCACACAAAUAAAUUAGAUAAAACUAAUGUAUCGGAAGAACACUUUGCAAAUUUAGAAAAAUAGAUUUAAUAAAUUAGAAACUGUAACUAAAGUAAACUGUAUCACAAAAUGGAAAGGCUAAAGCACACAAGAUAUAUUCAAGCAACGCUAACUUACCAUAUAAAGAAUCUAAAAUGUCAGAGAAUUUAUCUAGGACAGGUUAAUUAUUCUAAAUUAAAGGGAAAACAGUGCUCUUCAUAAUUCAGAUAUAAUUACAGACUGAGGCACUUGAUGCCCAUCAAACUACUCUUUGAAUCAUGUAAAACAGGAGUAAAAGAACCUUUAGCGAACAGAUUCAGCAGCUAAAUUUGACUCAAAUUGACAAAGAAAGGCUUUGAAACUUUUAAUAUUUGUCUGUGGAGACCAAGUCCAACCAGCAAGCAAAGCCAUGACGUCACUUGAUUAUUAUCUAUCAACAAUGGAGUUUUCCACUUCAACAAAGAAAUAGCAAAGCCGCUCUUUCUUUCCUUGUAACCACCCAAGGGUAGCUCUGCAAUACCUCCAGCUUAGCAUCAAAACUUAAGAAUACUAUCUCAUUAGUAAAAUGAAUAAAGCCCAGGCACAGCUUGUCUUCGUCCCCAUCCCCGUUAUGGGCCACCUUGUAUCCACGGUGGAGGUAGCAAAGCUUCUUCUUACUCGCCAACAC